rnacentral:rRNA from 1 species
CCUACGGGAGGCAGCAGUAAGGAAUAUUGGUCAAUGGACGCAAGUCUGAACCAGCUAUGCCGCGUGAAGGAUUAAGGUCCUCUGGAUUGUAAACUUCUUUUAUCUGGGACGAAAAAAGGUCUUUCUAGACCCCUUGACGGUACCAGAUGAAUAAGCACCGGCUAACUCCGUGCCAGCAGCCGCGGUAAUACGGAGGGUGCAAGCGUUAUCCGGAUUCACUGGGUUUAAAGGGUGCGUAGGCGGGUAGGUAAGUCAGUGGUGAAAUCCUGGAGCUCAACUCCAGAACUGCCAUUGAUACUAUCUAUCUUGAAUAUUGUGGAGGUAAGCGGAAUAUGUCAUGUAGCGGUGAAAUGCUUAGAUAUGACAUAGAACACCCAUUGCGAAGGCAGCUUACUACGCAUAUAUUGACGCUGAGGCACGAAAGCGUGGGGAUCAAACAGGAUUAGAUACCCUGUAGUCCACGCCCUAAACGAUGGAUACUCGACAUACGCGAUACACUGUGUGUGUCUGAGCGAAAGCAUUAAGUAUCCACCUGGGAAGUUACGUUCGCAAGAAUUGAAACUUCAAAGGAAUUGACGG